rnacentral:rRNA from 1 species
CAAAACAUCGCCUCUUGCAAACCAAAGAAUAAGAGGUCCCGCCUGCCCUGUGACAGUAUGUUUAACGGCCGCGGUAUUUUGACCGUGCGAAGGUAGCGCAAUCACUUGUCUCUUAAAUGGAGACCUGUAUGAACGGCACGACGAGGGCUUGACUGUCUCCUUUCCCCGGUCAAUGAAAUUGAUCUUCCCGUGCAGAAGCGGGAAUUAGAACAUAAGACGAGAAGACCCUAUGGAGCUUUAGACAAUGAGACAGAUCAUGUUAAGCCCCCAACAAAGGAACGAAACUGAAUGACCCCUGUCCUAAUGUCUUUGGUUGGGGCGACCGCGGGGCAACAAGAAACCCCCAUGUGGACAGGGAGCACCAUCUCCCAAAACCGAGAGCUACAGCUCUAAGCAACAGAACAUCUGACCAUCAAGAUCCGGCAAAGCCGAUCAACGAACCGAGUUACCCUAGGGAUAACAGCGCAAUCCCCUUCUAGAGCCCAUAUCGACAAGGGGGUUUACGACCUCGAUGUUGGAUCAGGACAUCCUAACGGUGCAACCGCUAUUAAGGGUUCGUUUGUUCAACGAUUAAAGUCCUACGUGAUCU